CUAGAAUAGCUUAAUUCUAAAGCACUGACUUUGUAACUCAGAGAUAAAUAAAAACUUUUUCUAGAUC
rnacentral:tRNA from 1 species